CCACAACCAACUGAAGCGAUGCGCUCCCUUUCAACCACCAAUUUCACGGCACCGUUUGUUUGCGCAUGGCCAGUUGCUCUCGAGGUCUUUCGGUCCCCCUCGAAACAACCGGCAUCUUUACACUACAACAUCUUAUCACUGGAGUGUCAACGCUUGGGGGUGUUUGGCAAAAUAAGGAAGGGUGGCUGAAUCAUGACAUG
rnacentral:lncRNA from 1 species